GCGCGCGCAGGCGGUCCUUUAAGUCUGAUGUGAAAUCCCACGGCUCAACCGGGGAGGUGCAUUGGAAACUGGGGAACUUGAGUGCGGAAGAGGAAGGUGGAAUUCCCUGUGUAGCGGUGAAAUGCGUAGAUAUUUGAAGGAACACCAGUGGCGAAGGCGACUUUCUGGUCUGAUACUGACGCUGAGGCGCGAAAGCGUGGGGAGCAAACAGGAUUAGAUACCCUGGUAGUCCACGCCGUAAACGAUGACUGCUAACCGUUGGGAGCCUUCCGCUCCUUAUGGCUGCACUUAACCCUUUAAUUGAUCGCCCGGGGAAGACCGGCCCCAGGACUGAACUCCAAUGAAUUUGACGGGGCCCCCCCCAACCGUGGAACCUGGGGUUUAAUUUCAAACCACCCCAAAA
rnacentral:rRNA from 1 species